GUAUUGCUCUCUUUUCUGCUGCGCUGCUGGCCUAGUUGAACGUGUUAUUGUUUGUGUAGCUGCCCGGUUUUCCGCUUUGCUCUUCUAAGCUCGUCU